GUGAAAAUGAUGUUGACCUUCUGGAUUUCCUGAAAGGUCUCAUAGAAGGCCAUACUUUGAGAACCUUUGCUCUAAAUGUCUGUAUCCUGGGUCAAAAUCCUAGUCAUUAUACCCUAAGUACAUCUCUCGGCCUAUCUCACAGUGCUGUGGUAAAGUAAAAUGUGUCAUUAUUGCAACCUUUGCAACCCUUCACACUGUUCUAAAAAUGCCAACUAUUGUUGUUGUUGGUAUUAUUUUCCUAAAGCACAGAAAUUCCAAAUGGAUAUCCUAGUCUAAUCAAGGCAGAAGAUUGGAGGGCAGGACUCAGUUCAUGAGGAUGCAGUGCAGGCUUGUCCAGGUUCUGCCCCGAAGCAAUUGGUGAGAGCCAGAAGAAUAGCAGCUGUGGGAAGCUGACUUUUAGGACCUUGCCACCAUUUCCCAAGGGCCAAGGAAGGAAGCCAAGAAGGCUUGUGGGUAUAGCAGCAGGAGACAUAAGGCAGGCAAGAAGAUGGAAAAGAGACAUCAAGAAGCAGAAGAGGAGAAAAGAUCUGCUCCUUUGCAGAGACCUCUCCCUGUAUUAAAGAAACCUGGAAAGUGGUAGUAAAGUGCAGUGGUUACUCCUGGUUCUGAAGGAACCUUAUAUACAGCAUUUCUGGAAGUUCAAACUUGGGCCUGAAGCUGUAUAACUUCUAAUCCCCAGUGGCCAAGAGAGGACAUUUAUUUUGUUUGGAUUAUGGUAGUAUGGGAGAAAAUUGAAAGGGGGUGAUAUCAGUGAUGCCCCAAAAAAGAAGAAGAAAAAAAGUGCUAAUGAAACAAUAGAGAAGAAGGUUCAUAGAGACAUGGACAAGCAGGACAGUAUUGCAAUCACUGUAUUAAAUAUAUGAGAUACUUGGAAAAAAGAUGUACAUAAUUGAAAUUCAUGCUUUCAUAACUGA